rnacentral:rRNA from 1 species
CGCCUCUUGCUCAGGAUAAGAGGUCCAGCCUGCCCGGUGACUCUUGUUUAACGGCCGCGGUAUCCUAACCGCGCGAAGGUAGCGUAAUCACUUGUUUUUUAAAUAAAGACUUGUAUGAAUGGCACCACGAGGGCCAAACUGUCUCCUUUUUUUUAUCAGUGAAACUAAUCCCCCCGUGAAGAAACGGGGAUUUUUAUAUAAGACGAGAAGACCCUAUGGAGCUUUAAACUUUACAGCACCUGCUUAUCUUGUUCUUCUAGGAGUCUACCAUCACUACAAGCAUGUCUGCCUAAAAGUUUUCGGUUGGGGCGACCACGGAGAACAAUAUAUCCUCCACGAUAAAAAGACCUACCUUUAGUAAAGAGCUACAACUUUAUACAUCAGUAAGACUGAUAUACAUUGACCCAAAUUUUUGAUCAACGAACCAAGUUACCCUAGGGAUAACAGCGUUAUCCACUUUGAGAGCUCCUAUCGACAAGUGGGCUUACGACCUCGAUGUUGGAUCAGGGUAUCCUAGUGGUGCAGCCGCUACUAAUGGUUCGUUUGUUCAACGAUUAAAACCCU